UACGUAGGGGGCAAGCGUUGUCCGGAUUUAUUGGGCGUAAAGAGCGUGUAGGCGGCCAGAUAGGUCCGUUGUGAAAACUCGAGGCUCAACCUCGAGACGCCGAUGGAAACCAUUUGGCUAGAGUCCGGAAGAGGAGAGUGGAAUUCCUGGUGUAGCGGUGAAAUGCGCAGAUAUCAGGAGGAACACCAAUAGCGAAGGCAGCUCGCUGGGACGGUACUGACGCUAAGGCGCGAAAGCGUGGGGAGCGAACAGG
rnacentral:rRNA from 1 species